rnacentral:lncRNA from 1 species
AUCGGGGCGCCGGCUGAGACCGAGCGGCGGCUGCUCGUUGCGAUCGGGGCAGGACCCCGCUUCUCCCGUCCAAUCCGGCGGUGGCUCGGUGACGAGAGGGCGGCGAGAGCUCGGCUCCUCCCUCGCCUCUUCUCCCCUCCAAUCCCGGUGGCAGCGGCGGCGGCGGCUCCGCGACAAGGAAGGGCGGCGGGAGCUUGGUUCCUCCCUCCCCUCUUCUCCCCUUCAAUCCCGGCGGCGGCUCGGCGACAAGUGCGGGACAAGGGCGGCGGCUCGGCAACGGCGGCUCAGCGGCGACGACGACGACAGCGACAUGGGAGGGGCCUUGGCGACUUUGACGACGACCGUGACGACGGAGGGCCUCGUCGACAUCGACGGCGCGCGGUGGACGGCGACGAGCGGAUCCGGCACCACCUCCUCCAUCCACCGCGCCACCUCCAUCUCCGCCCCCAGCCACCUCGUCGCCCUUCCCCGCCUCGCUCCCCCAGCCAGGGAAGGGACGGUGGCGCGCGGAUCUGCCGCCUC